rnacentral:lncRNA from 1 species
GGUCUGCAAGCUGCCUUGUUGGUGUGCAGUGAUUGGAACAUACAGUCAUCGCUAAGGGUGUCAUCUUCUGCCCUUAGGCAGACUGGGCAGGGGCUAGAAGUGGGUUUCUGUUGCACCAGACUGGCGGGGGCUGAGUUCAGACUUGAGGCAAAUAAGCGAUCAGGAGCCAGACAGGUGAGGCUCGGAGUGUUCAGCCCACCUUGCAGCUAACAUUCAUUCAGUCUGCUUCGCAACUAAUAAGAGUCAUUAUCUCACUGAAAUGUGGGAUAUGGUGCCUCUGUUUCUUCCCUGUGGACCCUUGUUGGUUCUCUGUGUCUUGGUUGUACUUGAGAUACAGGAGGUUGAGACUACUGACAUACUUGGUCAACAAGGCACCCUAAAGCAGAGGCCAUCAAACAAGGGGCAUGUAGGAACAGACAGCCUUCAGAAAUCCUGUUUCUAGAACUCGAACUUUCUCUAUGGUACUGGGAGUAGAACCCUAGUACCUCACCCAUGCUAGACCGGUGUUUCAGGUCCCCAGCCCUAGAGCUUGGACUUUCAUACAUACUCUUUUCUGAAAUUGUUAUGACUCAGAAAAUUGUUCACAGUAGCACCCUCCCACUUGACAAAAGAAAAAGUACUUUUUUCUACUCAAAAUCUCACUAUUGGGUUUGUCAUGGGUAUAACAAUCUCCAAAGGGCCAGAUAGAGAGACAAAGACACCGUAUUGAUGGGGGAAAGUGAAUGAUUCCAUGUAGUUGGUGAUAUGCUUUUGUAAUCAAGUAUUCCAGUUCUUUGUUCCUAACAAAAUGGAAGGAGGGCCAUGUGGAAUUUUCAGCAGAUAGAUAAAAAAUAACUUAGAAUACUGGAUUUUGGACAUAUAAAUUGGAAAAUUAGCGAAUCGAGUGACAUUACUACAAGAACUCUUUCCAAUCCCACUUACUAAAUUAUUUGAUCAAUAUUUCUUACACAGCUAUAGAAAUGGAAGGAAAAAGUAGUCAAAAGUAUGUAUUCUAUGGACACAGAACCUAUUGUUUCCUAAUUUUCCUUUAUUAUAAGAAUGGCAUUUCCAAUAAAAAUGUUCUAAG